UGGUAGUUUGGUUCUGGUUAUCUUUGUUUGGUUAUUUGUCUGGUCGGUUAACACAUGGUAGUUUAGGCGAAGAAUGCGUAUGUUGGUUUCUCCUAUAGUCGGUAGUUUUUUGCUGCUUACAAACUGGGUCUCCCACCUUACAAUCAGAAAGCUUUUCGAUGACUGUUAAUAAUCUAUUUCAUAACUCCAGUGGACAGAGUUUAACCAUGCGCGACAGCCUGAUUAAGCUAUUGUAUAUAAGGGGAGUCCAACCAGGUGCCAGCAGUCGCGGUUAAACCUGAGUAACUCAAGUCAAGCGGGACAGUGCAAAAGGUGGUUAGACGUAACCCCCCCUACUAGCGCAAUUGUGCUAUGUGAGGGGACUUAUUUUUAUGAACGGAGUGGGAGGAUCUGGGGGGAUAAGAGUACAAUCUGGCUGACCCCCCCAAGAAACGGGACUUUCUUUCUCUAGGCUGAGGCCACGGAACCGGUAACAGGAGACAUGGAUUAGGUACCCAUUUAUUACCGACGCAAAUUUUGCUGCGGGCAGCUGCUUGGGUACUACGAGCGUGUGCUUAAAACUCAAAGAACUUGGCGGCUAGUUAACUACCUAGGGGAAUAUGCGCCUUAAUCCGAUGGUCCCCGUAGCAUCUUACUGUGCCUUGAAGGAGUUCAGCUGGUGUAUUGCCGUUGUCAGCUUGUAGUACGAGCGAAGAGAAACAGGCUCAAUGGAACUUCUGAUAAGUUCAGAUAGGGUCCUUGAAUUCAGGUCGAAAUGCUGCCUAUGGCUCAAGGGAGUGGGUGUUACAAUUUCAAAUUAAAAUUACGGAUUUCGGGAUGAAGUGCCCGGGCUGAAGGCGAACUUAGGAGUAAGGGAAGAUUAAUAUGCUCCUCUGAACGUGAUUCUAACUUUUGUACAAACUGCCCGUCGCUCUCGCCGAGAGGUGAGAUAAGUCGUAACAAGGUAGGGGUACCGGAAGGUGCGCCCUGA
rnacentral:rRNA from 1 species